UGGGGAAUAUUGGACAAUGGGCGCAAGCCUGAUCCAGCCAUGCCGCGUGGAUGAUGAAGGCCCUAGGGUUGUAAAGUCCUUUCGGCGGGGAAGAUAAUGACGGUACCCGCAGAAGAAGCCCCGGCUAACUUCGUGCCAGCAGCCGCGGUAAUACGAAGGGGGCUAGCGUUGCUCGGAAUCACUGGGCGUAAAGCGCACGUAGGCGGAUAUUUAAGUCGGUGGUGAAAUCCUGGAGCUCAACUCCAGAACUGCCUCCGAUACUGAAUGUCUCCGAGUCCGGGAGAGGUGAGUGGAACUGCGAGUGUAGAGGUGAAAUUCGUAGAUAUUCGCAAGAACACCAGUGGCGAAGGCGGCUCACUGGCCCGGUACUGACGCUGAGGUGCGAAAGCGUGGGGAGCAAACAGG
rnacentral:rRNA from 1 species